CUUUAUUUAAAAAAUACACUGACCUUCUGAAGAUUGAAAGAUUUGCAUUUGUAUAUGGAUUUCCACCCAAAAACUCAGAACGUUUUACUAAGUAAUUGAAGUAUUUAUGAACUUUAAUCACAACUGGGAAAGGAGACAAUUAAUUUGACCAACAAAGCCCCACAAACAGCAAUUUAUGGGGCCGGUUGAAUAUUGUCUGUAUUCUGCCUAUCACGAACAACAAAAGGAACACGCUGUUUGAUUCAGUCAGCCAAUUGUUGGAAAAUAUGGCAUAUAAAAUUCAAGGUACCUUCGGAUUUACUAUGGUGGUUCAAAUGCAGACAUCGGCAGAUUAAAAACAUCAUGACAGCUUCCAGGUGCUGCCAGACCCGUUCAGUUUCUCCAGAAUUCUCUGUGUUUAUUUCAGCUUUCUGUCCAGUUCAUCUGUAACCAAAGA